AAUAGAUACCCUGGUAGUCCUAGCAGUAAACGGUGCACGUUUGGUGUGGGAGGAUUCGACCCCUUCCGUGCCGAAGCUAACGCGAUAAACGUGCCGCCUGAGGAGUACGGUCGCAAGAUUAAAACUCAAAGAAAUUGACGGGGGCCCGCACAAGCGGUGGAGUAUGUGGCUUAAUUCGAUGCAACGCGAAGAACCUUACCUGGCCUUGACAUGCUGGGAUUAACUGGGUGAAAGCCCGGGGAUUGUUCCGCAAGGGAUGUAACCAGCACAGGUGCUGCAUGGCUGUCGUCAGCUCGUGUCGUGAGAUGUUGGGUUAAGUCCCGCGACGAGCGCAACCCCUGUGUCCUGUUGCCCGCAAGGGAUCUCUGGACAGACUGCCCUGUGAAACGGGGUAGGAAGGUGGGGACGACGUCAAGUCAGUAUGGCCCUUACGGCCAGGGCUGCACACGUACUACAAUGCCCAGUACAGAACGAUCCGAAACCGCGAGGUGGAGGAAAUCCCGUAAAACCUGGGCCAGUUCGGAUUGUAGUCUGCACUCGACUACA
rnacentral:rRNA from 1 species